GUACUGGGAAAACAUUGGUACGUUGGAAAGAACAUUGGAUGGGGUGCCACAAGGACCUCCAUCUGAAUCCUUGUUCCAUCGAGAACUCUGUGUGCCUUGAACAAGCCAGUUGAGCUCUCUCAGCCUCAGUUUCCCUACUUGUAAAACCACAGUGUUGGAUGAGUCAAUGACUCUCAUUUCUGCCAGAGCAUGAGACUCCCCGGGGGGAAAGAAUAUCAGUGUGGGCUGAAUCAGAAGCUCCAGGUGGCCUUAAUUGUGGAAGGAAUGGUGUUUGUCUCUUGUAAAUAAACUUCAGUCAAAAAGCAGAUAAGGGCUGGGUGCUGUGUCUUGCUCCUGUAAUCCCAGCAGUUUGGGAGGCCGAGGAGGGUGGAUCACUUGAGGUUGGGAGUUCGAGACCAGCCUGGCUGGCCAACAUGGUGAAACCCCAUCUCUACUAAA
rnacentral:lncRNA from 1 species